CCUACGGGAGGCAGCAGUAAGGAAUAUUGGUCAAUGGACGAAAGUCUGAACCAGCCAUGCCGCGUGAAGGAUUAAGGCCCUCUGGGUUGUAAACUUCUUUUAUCUGGGACGAAAAAAGGGUAUUCUUACUCACUUGACGGUACCAGAGGAAUAAGCACCGGCUAACUCCGUGCCAGCAGCCGCGGUAAUACGGAGGGUGCAAGCGUUAUCCGGAUUUACUGGGUUUAAAGGGUGCGUAGGUGGGCUUGUAAGUCAGUGGUGAAAUCUCCGGGCUUAACCCGGAAACUGCCAUUGAUACUAUAGGUCUUGAAUUAUCUGGAGGUAAGCGGAAUAUGUCAUGUAGCGGUGAAAUGCUUAGAUAUGACAUAGAACACCAAUUGCGAAGGCAGCUUACUACGGAUAUAUUGACACUGAGGCACGAAAGCGUGGGGAUCAAACAGGAUUAGAUACCCUGGUAGUCCACGCCCUAAACGAUGGAUACUCGACAUCAGCGAUACACUGUUGGUGUCUGAGCGAAAGCAUUAAGUAUCCACCUGGAAGUACGAUCGCAGAUUGAAACUCAAAUGAAUUGACGG
rnacentral:rRNA from 1 species